GUUUAUAUAGUUUAACAAAAACAUUACAUUUUCAUUGUAAAAUUAGAAAUUUUCUUAUAAAUA
rnacentral:tRNA from 1 species